rfam:Hordeum vulgare subsp. vulgare, WGS project CAJW01000000 data, contig: morex_contig_1573688
UAACUACUCUCUCCGUCCGGAAAUACUUGUCCUAAAAAUGGAUAUAUUUAAUGUAUUUAUAAUUAAAAUAAGUCUAGAUUCAUCCAUUCCUAGGAUAAAUAUUUCUGGACGGAUGGAGUACAAA